GCACUUGUUGUCUCCAAUCAGUUACUUUCUUCCUUGCAAUUUUAGUCGGUAGGGUUCAAGAUAUGUUUUAAAUACACUUUUAAUACAAAAAUAUAGCUUAAAACCCUAAAUAAAUGACAAUUUUCGAUCCAUUCGUCCGAGAAAAAACAUUCAGUCACUUCGCCAUAAUGGUCUCGCGAGAAUGUCUCGCAACACAAACGCGCGUGUCUGGAGGUAGAACACGCACGGCUGGAGGUAAAAUUUGGCUUCAUCCGAUCAUAAGCCAAUCCUAUUGGAGGUAGCGUUCCAGGUAUUUUUAGUUCACUGGGUAUACCAGAAGCACAGAAGAGAUAAUACCAGAAGUCUUACUCAAGCGGAAACAUGUCCCAUCUUUUUUAUUGCGCAUGCGCGAGCUAAACAAGUGUAAUGCAAUGUUGACAAUAGAAAAUUAUAUUGGGAAGUUGUCAUUCCUACAGUAAAAACAGCUUUUUUUCAAGCAGUACGAAAUGUGACUUCGAUUUAUCCGUGGAACUAUUUGAACAGAAGGUAAAGCAGUAAUUUUGUUGUAUUUAGAAAGCAAACAGGGUCAUAUUUUAAAGAAAAUAGCGCACUAAAUAUAAAUUUGAGCAUCAUUAAAAUGUGUUCGCUAUGAUGCCAUUUUGUCUCGAGUAUAUACGGAGUACUGCUUUUAUACUGGUGGAUAUUCGAAUUUAUUUGGCUCAAAAACACCAUUACUUCAAUAUCUCUUUCUUGUUUUUCCUUGGAUAGGUUUUAACAAGAUAGAACUCUAGAUCACUUGGGUCCAAAAACGCUAGAUUAUAAAAUCCUGAUGUGACUUGAUACUACAAAUAGAAUAUGUCUUGUGAUGUAAUACUACAAAUAGAAUGACAAACUUCAAUGAAUUGAUAAAGUGUAAGGAUUCAAGGAUAGUGUUUAAAGUUGCUUCAUGUGUAGAAGCUGAAUUACUUUAGUUUAUACACUGUAAUGUCGAUAUCACAUGUUGAUGACUUUAAUACUAGCAACAAGUGGUCUGUCCUGCUUGUUUAUAAUACUUUAGAGUUUGGACAUUAGAACAUUGUAAUUGCCUGACAGAGAUUGUUAGGGCCUGUUUGUAUGGAAGCCGGGCUGGCCCGCUUAGCGAGACAGCCCGGUAAGGUAGGUAAGCUGGAUGAUUUCUCUUGUGUUUAUUUGAGAAAAUUUCAUCCUGCUUACCCGGGACAAUUUUGUUGUUUUGACAUUGUUUUGACAGUUGUUAAAAAUAGCUUGCAGCAGUAUCGUUGAACUUUCAUCCUGGCAACUGGGCUAGCCUGCUUGUGAUUGUUUAUAUGGAGAAAUUUCCAUCCUGGUCUCUGCAACAGGGCCUCCCGCUUGUACAUAGAAACAAGUUUAAUUAUAAUUUUUACUAUAAAAAUAAGUAGACAGCGAGAUCUCACUUACCGGGCUGUCUCACUUAGCAGGCCAGCCAGUUUCGAUAUAAACAGACCCCUAAAAGCUGCAAGUUUCCUUAAAGCAAUAUCGUCUAUAUCACAGAAUACAGUUUCUGUAGUGACAUACUUUGUGUGUUUUCUGUCUUUAAAGUGUCUUAUGUUUGUAAUAUUUUUGUACAAUACCUUUUUGAAAUUGUUGAUACUGGUCUCAUUGUAACUCAGUUAUUCCUUCUCAAGAAAAAUAAAAAAACAAAGCUGUGUGGGUGUGUUUUUGCUCUAGUUUUUACAUCUACAUGAUUCAUGUACAAUUAAUGUACAUUUAAAUUAGCUUUGUUCAAUGAAUACAGGUGUGAUUCAAAUAUCAUUCCUAUCUGGUACUUGGGUCAAAUAGACAUAAGCAUACCAAAUCAUGCUAUGAAUUGAAAUACAAGUAUAGGGUGUGUAUUGUUUAAAUAAAUAUAUUUUCCAGUUAACCCAGUAAGCUGCAUUGUGCCCCAAUGCACCCUACUUUACUAGUUUAUUUCACUUCAUCUAAUGCCAGAUGAUUUUACUUAUCGAGGGAGAGUGCUGCUGCUCAUUGAGCUCUGAUUGAGUUCACUGAGUGGCAGCACUUUCCCCUUGACGAGUGAAAUUGUCUGGUGUUAGACAGAGUAAAAUAAUCUUGUGUUCACUAAAGUAGCUACUUUUUCAAAAGCUCAACCAGGCUAAAGAUUCUUUGAUUUGAAAACCAAAGUGAUAGUGAACUAGUUAGUUGAAACAAACAGAAUUGUUCGAUUUAUUUACUUUCCACAACAUAAUUUGACAAUUAAAAUUUAAUUUGAUACUUUUCCAGUAUGCAUUCUUCAUUGACAUUAUAGAGGUUCA